AGAGAAGCAAUACCGCGAGGUGGAGCAAAACUUCAAGAAUGGUCUCAGUUCGGACUGUAGGCUGCAACUCGCCUACACGAAGUUGGAAUUGCUAGUAAUCGUGGAUCAGCAUGCCACGGUGAAUACGUUCCCGGGUCUUGUACACACCGCCCGUCACACCAUGGGAGCUGGUAACACCCGAAGUCAGUAGUCUAACCGCAAGGAGGACGCUGCCGAAGGUGGGAUUAGCGACUGGGGUGAAGUCGUAACAAGGUACC
rnacentral:rRNA from 1 species